UCAUCAGAAGACCUAUGGUUACUUCUGAUACAACACUUAUUCUCUGAAAACAAAGUAGAGACAAUUUGGUAGCUUGCCCUCAUCAUUCAGGUUUCCAUGAAGACAAGGGAGGAGUUUCAGAUUCAUGGUACGUAGCGAUAGUUCCACCGUAUCUGUCUCCCUUCACAGCAUCCGCUGAAGCAAUAGAUUCUAGCUCAGUCAUCUCUUCAGGUGUUAAUUUUACGGACAAAGCUCCAAUGUUCUGGUUGAAGUUUUCAGUUUUGGUGGUUCCAGGAAUGGGACAGACAUCAUUCCCUUGGUGAUGAACCCAUGCCAAUGCAAGCUGUGAUGGGGUGCACCCCUUCUUUGCUGCUAUCUCAUUAACUCGCUCAUAAAGACGUCUGUUGUGCUCAAGAUUUUCAGGUUGGAACCUCGGUAGAUACUGUGACAAUUGAAAAUCCAUUCACAUGAUUGUUAUGAAAAAUAAAGAUGAUCUGCAGCAGACCAUUACUUUCUGCAAAUAAUACAGAUUUAGGAUUCAAGGCAUUUCAAAAAGUGUUUGACAAUUCAUGCCAUCAAUGGUUGUCAAAAUGGACCUCAUUUAAUUGCCCAAAUACAGAAAAGAUCUCAUAUCCUCAGAUUUGAUUUAAAUAGAAGGCUAAAUGCCUAUUUCAGAAAGAUUUAAAUGGGGUACUAAUUUUGUAACAAACAAUUAACCAUGCAGUUCCUUAAAAGUAUAUUCAUGUACUCCAGAGUUCAGUCAUUAACUUCAAUUGUUAAAAUUAAGACUAAUGUAACCUGGAGCUUAGUUAAGUUGGUUCAUGCAACUGCCCUUAAGAGUAACAUCCAGCAGGUUUAGGAUUCAAAUUUCAGUGUCUGCAACCUCUUUCCCUAUCCCCAGGCUGCGGCCUCCUUUAUACUAAAAAAAGAUAGGACUAAUGCUCGUUACCUAAUUUAUACAUCACUUGGUUCAUUUGAUACAGAAUUCUCAAAUACAAGUAACAGAUGUCUCAUCUGUGACUCUGAUCUCAACUGAAGCAAACAAAUCUCCACUACAAACUUCCCUGAAGUUUUUCAUUAAAAGAUGCAUUAGAUGAUUGUAAACCGCUGCUAAGUGAGAAGUAACGGAUAUUAAUCAAUGGCUCACAAGAGACACUUGCAGUCUGGCAAAACUCAAUGGGAAGGACAUAAAGGUAUAAGUCAGCCUCUGUUAUUAAAGGUGAUUUGAAGCUUAACAUGCCUGCAUACUAUUUCACUUGAAAGUUGCGUGAUGCAUAUGACUUCACUAUAUAAUGGUAGUGGAUAUGACACAAUAGGGAAAAAGAUUAUGAACAUUUUCAAACUUCAAUUCUUAACCAGUCCACCCUUACUGUACUGCACAGUUGGAUAAUAUACACUUAGACAGUAAACACUAACAUUUAACUAAAACCAAUUCACAUGAGACUCACACUAAAUUGGAAAGAACAAGAUUGCUAGCAUUGAGGCACUUAAGAGACUAAAAUUGGGUGGUUUUCAUUACAGAGUAAGCUAACAAAGAGGAAAAUGUUGCAGAACAACUUAAGCAUAAAAAUUAUUUGGCUCUCAUAUGUAAAUACUCUUGUCUUGUCAGCAACCUCCGAUGCUGACUUAGGCUAGAGUUGAAAAUCUAGAAUACCCUAAUUUUUUUUUAAUAUUUUAGACCAUCAGGCACACGGCUACUGGAACUAAGAGUAAGCACUCUACCAAUAGGCACCCAGCUGUUGGCUAAUACCAUUAAAUUUAAUAUGCCUAAAAUAACAGAUAAUCAUGGCUUAUGAACAAGUAUCCAAAUGUGAAAAGUAGCUACAAACCUUUCUGAAGUCAUCAUUGGAAAAAGUUUCCACUAUUUUAGGCCCUGAUGAAAAGAAUCCUCUCCCCAGAGGGCUGUAAGCGACAAUCCCAAUCCCAAGUUCCCUAAGAAAUUAAAAGGAAUCACAUCAAAUAAGAAUUCCAAAUCAGAAAUUUUCAAAAAAAAAAAGAAAUUUGUUGGUCUUAUGGAUAAAUAACCUGCAAGUCGGAAUGAUGUCUGCCUCAACAUCUCUAGACCACAAGGACCACUCCAAUUGUACAGCAGUAAUUGGAUGAACAGCAUGUGCCCUUCUAAUUGUCGAAGCAGAAGCCUCAGAUAAACCUAUAUACUUUACUUUACCUUCUUCAACUAGUUUCUUAAGUUCUCCCAUCUGGGUGAAAAGAAAAAAAAAAGCAACAAUCAAUAAAAGAAUAAGAAGAAAAAAGCAAGGGGACAAAAGUCAAAACAAAAAACAAACCGUGACUUCAAUGGGAACCCUGGUAUCAAUCCGAUGCUGGUAAUAAAGAUCGAUACAAUCAACACCAAGACGCUUCAAGCUACCUUCACAGGCCGCUCUGACAUAAGCAGGGUCACCACGGAUUUCCCUCUUGCCAUCAGUAUAGUCUAUACCAAACUUAGUAGCCAAUUCAACCCUGUCUCUUACACCAUCUUUCAAGGCCUUACCAAUAAGGAUUUCAUUGGUAUGGGGACCAUAAACAUCAGAAGUAUCAAGAAAGGUAACCCCGGAGUUGAUAGCAUGGUGGAUUAGAGCAAUCAUGUCAGCUUCGGGCUUUGGAGGACCAUAGAAAGCUGACAUCCCCAUGCAUCCAAGGCCUUGAGCUGACACUUCCAGGCCCUGAGAACCCAACUUGAUCCUCCCAACUUUUUCAGUUGCCAUGUUUCACUGAUGGUUGAGUGUGAAGCGAUUAGCUAUCUGGAUUUUUGGUGUUGAGGAUGGAGGUUUCACCGUUUCAGCACUGUUAAAUAGUGGCUGGGGAAAGGGCAUGACGUAAGGGCAUAUGUUAAUACAGAUUAAUGAUUGCGUAUAUUAUUGUAAUAUUCAAGAAAAUUAUAAACAAAGUCAAAUAAGACCUUACAACUUAGUAGUUAAAGUUUUUUUUUUUUUUUUUUAAUUCUUUGCUACAUUUAUGAAUUUUAUAAGAAAACUUAAGUAAUUUAUGAAUGUUAUAAAAAGUUUUUGAAAAUUUCUUUGUACAUAAGUAAAUUAUGUAAAAAGCUUUUACAUAAGAUGUCAACAACUCAACAUCACCAUUUUUUUCUCUUUUCUUAAAAAGUAAAAAUUAUGGUAAACUAAAUAUUUGUUUAUCAAAAGAACACCAAAUAUUAAUAGAGAGGUCAUUAACAUUGCACUAAAUUUGAAUCCGAGAUUUAGUUCGACUAAUUUAUAUAUUUAUAUUUAGAAAGUAAAAUUUAAUAAGUCUAAAUUAUUGACAAAAAAUUAAAAUUCAAAUUUUAACACAAUUUUUUUCUCAAUCUCCAUAAUAUGACUUUUUAUGUAAAAUAAAAUUAUACUUAAUCUCAAAAUUAAUUAGUUCACCUGUCAAGGAAAAAUCAAAUUAAAAAACAUUACUAAUUAAUUAUGACUAAUAGAAAUUAUAAUUUCUUGAACAUUAUUAAUUUCUUAUCACACCCAUCAUUUAUGUUAAAUGAAAAAAAUCAUAAUUAUUUUUAUAACUAUAAAAUAACAAGUGGUGCUUAAAUGAAUUUUAUAAUAAAAUAUUUAGAAGCAAUAAAUACCAUUAAAAGGACAUUAGGAUUGCAUCUAACAUUUGAUUUUUCUUUUGGCCAAAACCUAACAUUGGUUUUAUAAAGUUAUCUUGAAAUUUUCUUUCAAAAUUGGAAUCUUAAAAAUUCAUAAUAUAAAUUUUCGAAAGAACGAAGUGCGGCACUCACUUUUUUUUUUUUUGGCAUUUUCUUUGUUUUUUUUUUUUAUUUAUAGGUUUUUUUUUCUUUUACCUGUUUUAAUUUAUUGACUUUCGCAUGUGAAAAAAGUAAAGAAAGUAAAAAUUGAUGGGACAAUGAUUGAUGAAGAGUUGGUGAAAGUUGGUAAAGAGUAAAGAUUAACAAAGAGAGUUAAAAGUAAAAAAGCAAGGAAAAAAUUGAGGUACCCUCCUUUGUAUCAUUUCUUUUCUUUUUUAAUCCUUAUUUAAUUGUUUUUUAUUUAAUUGUUAUUGUUUAUUUUUUAUGAUUAAAUAUAAAAAAUUAUUUAAUUAUAUAUUUUUCUAUCAAUUUGAUAUAAAAUAAAAUAAAAUUAUUAAUUUGACACCUAAACUUUCAUUCUAUUAUCACUUUAAAACAUUAGACUAAUAUCAUUAGUCCAUUUAUUGAUUGUUAAUACUUAAUUUUUUUUAGCAAAUUCUAGUCAAAUAUGAAGCGUUUAAAAUUCAAUCUAAUUUAAAUCUAAUAUUUCUUUAAUAUUGAUAAAUUAUCAAAACUAAAUUAUGGAUCAAAUUGACUUGAAUAUCCUUUAGUCAAAUCUAGUCAAUAAUAAUCAAACUCGAUCAAAUUAGGAUUAAUCUUUGGAACUCAUAACCAAAUAGGAUUUUUAAAACUUGAGAUUAAUAAUUUAUGAUUUUGAUGCACUAAAAAUCAUGAUUAUAACUCGAAAUGUGUAAAAUUAUCAAAAUAUUUUUUAGAGGUAUUUUUAUAAUUUGAUCUUUUUUAGAUUAUGUUUUGGUAUUAUUUAAUAAUUUUUUACAUUAAAAACCUUAAUCGCACCUCAUAAAAUAUGAAAUUAUCAAAAUAUCAUUUAGGAGUAUUUUUACAAAAAGUUUUAGAUCAUAUUUUAAUAUUAUUUUAUGAUUUUUGAUAUAUUAAAACCCUUAUCGCAUCUUAAAGUGUAAAACUAUCAAAAUGUCCUCUAAAAAUAUUUUCAUAAUUUGACUUUUCGAGAUUGGUAUUUCGUAAAAAACUUCAAAUCAUGUUUUGAUAUUAUUUCAUGACUUUUGAUAUAUUAAAAACUUUGAUUGCACUUCUAAAUGUGUGAAAUUAUCAAAAUAUUUUUUAAGCGUAUUUUUAUAAUUUAACUUUUUUCCAAGUUGAUUUUUCGCAAAAAUGCUUCAAAUCAAAAUUUGAUAUUAUUUCAGGGUGUUGCACUAAGAAACAUGUUUCCUGCAUGUGUAAAUUCCGCUCUAAGGACCGUUCCUGAUGCAUCUGAGAUUGUCCAAUUUUUUUCUGCAAAGUUCCUCGUCCAAUUCAAGGUGUAAGCUAGACUUGUGAUUUACAAGCUAGGAUUUCCAGCAAAUGCUUGCAUUCAACCAAUCUUGAUGAGUAACAAAUCAAGAAAACAUGUGGGAAAAGAGCCACGUGGCAUGGUCACAAUUGCCUAGUUUAGAUGUUUGUUGAUGCCAUAGCCGAAGGAACCGGUGGCCAAUUUUGGACAGACUUAUGAAUCAAAAUGAGAAGCAGGACUGGUCACUUACAGUACUGGUGUUUGGGAUUAAUUAACAUCUAGCAAGGCUGCGUUUGGAAAGUCUUAUCUGGAUCUACAAAGAAAUUCCCUUCCUUUGAUCCUUUCACAGGGGGGUUGUAUUGUUUACGGGCCAAAGUAUAUAGAUGGGCCUAUGAAGUGUAAGGUCAGUAGUUGAGUCCAGUCCAAUAAUUAGGAUUAUUUCAAAUAUUAGUUAAAAUCAGUGAAUGUGCGAUUAGUUAUAUCACAACUAGAUUAGUUAAAAAGCUGAUGUCAAUUGCUGAUGUUCAUGGUCUGUUAAAGGUUUUUAGAAGGGAGGAGACGAUUGGUUGUAGGCAUUCUGAAAAUUCAUACAACAUAAUACAAUAUUUCUCUCUAUACUUUCUCUUUUCUUCUUCUUCCAUUUACUCUUCUCUGAUUCAAGGCUGGGUAGAUUUCUUCAUCAACUUAAUGUCUUCAUUCUCAGUUGGCCCCAUACCAGCUUUCAAAUUUCCCAAUGUUUAAGCAGACUUUUGAUGAUAGAAAGUCAGGAAGUCAAACGAAUUUAAAAGAGAAGAAAGCAUGAGAGAUAGUUAAAUCAUUGAAAUAUUGGAGCAAGAUUUUGCCUUUUUUUUUUUUCGUUUGGUCAAAGGAAUCAUGCAGUGCACAAAAAACCUAAUGUUGGGAAAUCUGAAAUCAUGCAUUGAUAGCUUAUUUCAGAACCUUUUGCUUCAUUACCAUGGGAAUACACAAUCUCAACAUGACAAACCUGGAUAGCUACUACCAAGUUUGCAAUCUCUCAUCAGAAGACCUAUGGAUACUUCUGAUACAACACUUAUUCUCUUGAAACAAAGUAGAGACAAUUGUAGCUUGCCCUCAUCAUUCAGGUUUCCAUGAAGACAAGGGAGGAGUUUCAGAUUCAUGGUACGUAGCGAUAGUUCCACCGUAUCUAUCUCCCUUCACAGCAUCUGCUGAAGCAAUAGAUUCUAGCUCAGUCAUCUCUUCAGGUGUUAAUUUUACGGACAAAGCUCCGAUGUUGUGGCUGAAGUUUUCAGUUUUGGUGGUUCCAGGAAUGGGACAGGACAUCAUUCCCUUGGUGAUGAACCCAUGCCAAUGCAAGCUGCGAUGGGGUGCACCCCUUCUUUGCUGCUAUCUCAUUAACUCGCUCAUAAAGACGGUCUGUUGUGCUCAAGAUUUUCAGGUUGGAACCUCGGUAGAUACUGUGACAAUUGAAAAUCCAUUCACAUGAUUGUCAUGAAAAAUAAAGAUGAUCUGCAGCAGACCAUUACUUUCUGCAAAUAAUACAGAUUUAGGAUUCAAGGCAUUUCAAAAAGUGUUUGACAAUUCAUGCCAUCAAUGGUUGUCAAAAUGGACCUCAUUUAAUUGCCCAAAUACAGAAAAGAUCUCAUAUCCUCAGAUUUGAUUUAAAUAGAAGGCUAAAUGCC
rnacentral:lncRNA from 1 species